GAUGAACGCUGGCGGCGUGCCUAAUACAUGCAAGUCGAGCGAACAGACGAGGAGCUUGCUCCUCUGACGUUAGCGGCGGACGGGUGAGUAACACGUGGAUAACCUACCUAUAAGACUGGGAUAACUUCGGGAAACCGGAGCUAAUACCGGAUAAUAUAUUGAACCGCAUGGUUCAAUAGUGAAAGACGGUUUUGCUGUCACUUAUAGAUGGAUCCGCGCCGCAUUAGCUAGUUGGUAAGGUAACGGCUUACCAAGGCGACGAUGGGUAGCCGACCUGAGAGGGUGAUCGCCCCCACUGGAACUGAGAUACGGUCCAGACUCCUACGGGAGGCACCAGAAGGGAAUCUUCCGCCAUGAGCGAAAGCCUGACGGAGCAACGCCGAGGUGGUGAUGACAAACUUCGGAUCGUAAAACUCUGUUAGUAGGGGAGAACAAAUGUGUAAGUAACUAUGCACGUCUUGACGGUACCUAAUCAGAAAGGCACGGCUAACUACGUG
rnacentral:rRNA from 1 species